rnacentral:miRNA from 1 species
UCUUUGGUAUCCUAGCUG